UGAGCAGACUGCGCAGCCGCGGCAGCGCUUUUUAUGCUGACGAGGAAAGUCCGGGCAUCACAGAGCAGGGUAACUGCUAACGGCAGCCGGGGGUGACCCCAGGGCCAGUGCAACAGAAAUGAAACUGCUCCGCGCCUUCGGUGCGGUGCGAUGGUGGAAAGGCGGGGUAAGAGCCCACCAGAGAAUGCGAGAGCAUUCUGCUGUGUAAACCCUACCCGAUGCAACGCUGAUUGGUGUGUCAGGUCAUAACGUCUGCUCGGCGGAUCUGAUGCAAAGGCGGCUUGAGCGCUCCGGCGACAGAGCGCCUAGAUAAAUGGCUGCACCCGUUAUCCUUAGGAAUAACAGGACAGAACCCGGCUUACAGGUCUGGUCACAUC
rnacentral:RNase_P_RNA from 1 species